GUUGGUUAGCUCAGUCAGUAGAGUUCUCCAGUGGAAAUGGGGAAGUCCCUGGUUUGAUACCAGGACCAGACG
rnacentral:tRNA from 1 species